CUAUCGGAGAGUUUGAUCCUGGCUCAGGACGAACGCUGGCGGCGUGCCUAAUACAUGCAAGUCGAGCGGAGA
rnacentral:rRNA from 1 species